CGGGCGGUAGCUCAGCCUGGUAGAGCUUCCGGCUGUAGACCGGAGUGUCGCAGGAGAGCUGUGAGGAUGAAAACCCCAGCUCGGCGAUUUCAAAUCCUGCCCGCCCGACCA
rnacentral:tRNA from 1 species